rnacentral:lncRNA from 1 species
UAGAAGAUGCCUCAAGCCAAAAGGAGGAAGGAGAGGUGGCAUCUCCAGACCUGGCCAAGGCAAACCUCAGGUGAAUCUACAGAUGGGUUGAGGGUGUUUUAGUAUGGACAUGUGGAGAUUGAAGACACGGGGAGGAGAGACUGUGCCCCAUGAGUCAUUUAUACCAUCAAAGCUCCUCCCAUGAAAUCUCUGGGAACACCUCUUGCAAGCUCCAUGUGCUGAGGUGGGCCCCAAACACUGUCCAGUUCACCACCCCCUUAACCUCAAUUAGAUACCUCUCUAAGUUUCCCUAGGAGCCAUUUAACUGUCCAGGUCAUUCCUCAUGCCCCUGCUCCUGUGUGUCCUCAAUAAAAUGUCAGGCACCCCUCCUUCAGCCCUCUGCUUGUCCCUCAUCAGCAUUCCUGCAGUAUAGUAAUUAAGAUAGAGAAUGUCCAGUGCACAGAUACACUCCACAGUGCUACAGGAAAUGGGACUCAAUACUAAGGUGGUCUGGGGUGCCAAAGUGCUUUAGGAGGUUGGGAGCAUUCCACACAAAGGGGCUUCUUUUCCCUGAAACUAGACAACUGCUUUUGGUCAGCGUGUGCUUUUCUGUCCCCAGGGAGCUUUAAGGGAGGGCACCAGAGCCCUCUGACCUCAGUGUGACUUCUGGCCUUCUGCUCCCAGCCUCCUCUCCUUCUAUCUCCUGUCCUUUCCUCUCUACAUUCUACUGGGUCUGCCCUAUCUAUGGGAAGGCUCUUUUUGAACAUGAGGAAUAUCAAGAUCACAAGGCUCUUAGAGGAUGGCCCCAUCCAUAUUGGAUGAAAAAUGCUUUCAGAAUGCUAGGAAGGUUAGGUGGGACUGGGUUGGAACUGAGUGACUUUGUGUUAAGCUCUUAUCUUUUUAACCCUUCCUUCCCCCAUUCUGCAUUCACACCUCAGGGUGUGUGAAGACCCACCCCCACUGAAAGGGCCAGAUGUCAUCAUGCCUAUCCUCAAGGAUGAUGGGUCCUACAUGCUCUGUGGAUUUUGGGCAGAUGAUGAUGCUGAAGCUCCAAUCUGGGCCUGUGUUGGGGCCUGGCAUCCUACAAUCCAGCAGCCCAUCUGCUGUACUGAGGCCAUUGUGGUGGAAAACCCCUACCACCAAAAGGAGGAAGUGGAGUUGGCAUCUACAGACCAGGCCAAGGCUAUCCCCAUGGUGUGUGGAGACCCACCCCCACUGGAAGGGCCAGAUGCCAUCGUGCCUGUCCUCAAGGAUGACAGAUCCUACCUGCUCUGUGGAUACUGGGCUGAUGAGCCUGAAGCACCAGCCCAGGCCUGGGCUAGGGCCUGGCACUUUACAACCCAGCAACCCCUCUGCUGUGCUGAGGCCAUUGUGGUGGAAGACUCCUCAAACAAAAAGGAGAAAGUCAAGGGGGCAUCCUCAGAUCAGGCUGAGGCUAUGUCCAGGGUGGGUGAAGAUCCACCCCCACUGGAAGGGCCAGAUGUCAUCACACCUAUCCUCAAGGAUGAUGGGUCCUACAUGCUCUGUGGAUUUUGGGCAGAUGAUCCUGAAGCACCAGUCCAGGCCUGUGCUGAGCCCUGGUACCUUACAACCCAGAAGCCCAUUUGCUGUGCUGAAGCCAUUGCGGUGGAAGAGCCCUCCUGCAAAAAGGAGGAAGGGGACUCGGCAUCUGCAGAGCAGGCCGAGGCUAUACCCAUGGUGUGUGGAGACCCACCCCCACUGGAAGGGCCAGAUGCCAUCGUGCCUAUCCUCAAGGAUGACGGAUCCUACCUGCUCUGUGGAUACUGGGCUGAUGAGCCUGAAGCACCAGUCCAGGCCUGGGCUGGAGCCUGGCACUUUACAACCCAGCAGCCCAUCUUCUGUGCUGAGGACACUUUGGUGGAAGAGCCCUCAUUUCAAGAGGAGGAAGGUGUGGUGGCACCUGCAGACCAGGCCGAGGCUAAUCAGAGCCUCUGCUCUGCAUCACACCUCAGGGUGUGUGAAGAUCCACCCCCACUGGAAGGGCCAGAUGUCAUUGUGCCUAUUCUCAAGGAUGAUGGAUCCUACAUGCUCUGUGCAGUUUGGAUGGAUGAUCCUGAAGUGCCGGUCCAGGCCUGGGCUAGGGCCUGGCACCCUACAACCCAGCAACCCAUCUGCUGUGCUGAGGCCAUUGUGGUGAAAGAUGCCACCUACCAAAAAGAGAAAGUCAUGUUGGCAACUGCUGAUUGGGCUGAGGCUACCUCCAGGGUGGGUGGAGAUCCACCACCACUGGAAAGGCCAGAUGCCAUUGUGCCCAUCCUCAAGGAUGAUGGAUCCUACAUGCUCUGUGCAUAUUGGGCUGAUGAGCCUGAAGCCCCAGUCCAGGCCUGGGCUGGGGCCCUGCACCCUACAGCCCAGCAGCCCAUCUGCUGUGCGGAGGCCAUUGUGGUUUCCCUCCUUGCAGUGGAAGAUGCCUCCAGCCAGAAGGAGAAAAUAGAGGUGGCAUCUGCAGAGCAGACUGCAGUGGAAGAGCCCUCAUCACAAGAGGAGGAAGGGAAGGUGGCACGUGCAGACCAGGCUGAGGCUAAUCAGAGGGUGUGUGGAGAUCCACCCCCACUGGAAGGGCCAGAUGCCAUUGUGCCUAUCCUCAAGGAUGACGGAUCCUACCUGCUCUGUGGAUACUGGGCUGAUGAGCCUGAAGCACCAGCCCAGGUCUGGGCUGAGGCCUGGCAUGCAAAAACCCAGCAGCCCAUCUGCUGUGCUGAGGCUUUUUGGGUGAGUCCUUAGAUGUGAAUCUUGCUGCAGACCUGUCAAAGUGCCCGAGUGGACUCCUAUGACCCAGGCCUGCUUGCUGUUACUCCCCAGGGAAAGGUGGUGAUGUGGCAGGCUGUCCCCUGGGCUAUAUCUGGAUGGACAGAGGCAGAACCCAUGGUGGAGUUUGCAGCACAGUUGUAGUGUGGCUGGUGUGUCUUAGCCUCAUAGUCCCAGGAUAUGCCCCCCUUUCUGACACUGACACUGGCCUUGUUGUGCCUGAAGCACAUG